rnacentral:rRNA from 1 species
AAAUGAAUUGACGGGACCGCACAAGCGGUGGAUGAUGUGAUUAAUUCGAUGCAACGCGAAAACCUUACCUACCCUUGACAUGUCCGGAAUCCCGAAGAGAUUUGGGAGUGCUCGCAAGAGAACCGGAACACAGGUGCUGCAUGGCUGUCGUCAGCUCGUGUCGUGAGAUGUUGGGUUAAGUCCCGCAACGAGCGCAACCCUUGUCAUUAGUUGCCAUCAUUUGGUUGGGCACUCUAAUGAGACUGCCGGUGACAAACCGGAGGAAGGUGGGGAUGACGUCAAGUCCUCAUGGCCCUUAUAGGUGGGGCUACACACGUCAUACAAUGGCCGGUACAGAGGGUAGCCAACCCGCGAGGGGGAGCCAAUCCCACAAAGCCGGUCGUAGUCCGGAUCGCAGUCUGCAACUCGACUGCGUGAAGUCGGAAUCGCUAGUAAUCGCGGAUCAGCAUGUCGCGGUGAAUACGUUCCCGGGUCUU